rnacentral:rRNA from 1 species
CCUUUUACGUUAGCGGCGGACGGGUGAGUAACACGUGGGUAACCUACCUAUAAGACUGGGAUAACUUCGGGAAACCGGAGCUAAUACCGGAUAAUAUUUCGAACCGCAUGGUUCGAUAGUGAAAGAUGGUUUUGCUAUCACUUAUAGAUGGACCCGCGCCGUAUUAGCUAGUUGGUAAGGUAACGGCUUACCAAGGCGACGAUACGUAGCCGACCUGAGAGGGUGAUCGGCCACACUGGAACUUAGACACGGUCCAGACUCCUACGGGAGGCAGCAGCU